rnacentral:rRNA from 1 species
AACGAACGCUGGCGGCAGGCUUAACACAUGCAAGUCCAACGCAUCGCAAGGGGAGUGGCAGACGGGUGAGUAACGCGUGGGAAUCUACCCAUCCCUACGGAACAACCCCGGGAACCUGGUGCUAAUACCGUAUACGCCCGUGGGGGCAAGAUUUAUCGGGGAUGGAUGAGCCCGCGUUGGAUUAGCGAGUGGGUGGGGUAAAGGCCUACCAAGGCGACGAUCCAUAGCUUGUCUGAGAGGAUGAUCAGCCACAUUGGGACUGCAGACACGGCCCAAACUCCUACGGGAGGCAGCAGUGGGGAAUAUUGGACAAUGGGCGCAAGCCUGAUCCAGCCAUGCCGCGUGAGUGAUGAAGGCCUUAGGGUUGUAAAGCUCUUGCACCGAUGAAGAUAAUGACGGUAGUCGGAGAAGAAGCCCCGGCUAACUUCGUGCCAGCCGCCGCCGUAA